rnacentral:rRNA from 1 species
UACACACCGCCCGUCACGCCAUGGAAGCUGGGGGGACCCGAAGCCGGUGUGCUAACCGCAAGGAGGCAGCCGUCUAAGGUCAACUCAGUGACUGGGGCG